UCGUCAGCUCGUGCCGUCGAGGUGUCGGGUUAAGGUCCCAUAACGAGCGCAACCCCUACCUUUAGUUGCCAUCAGGUAAUGCUGGGGACUCUAAAGGAACUGCCUACGCAAGUAGUGAGGAAGGCGGGGAUGACGUCAAAUCAGCACGGCCCUUACGUCCAGGGCUACACACGUGCUACAAUGGCCGAUACAGAGGGCAGCUACCUGGUGACAGGAUGCAAAUCUCCAAAGUCGGUCUCAGUUCGGAUCGGAGUCUGCAACCCGACUCCGUGAAGUUGGAUUCGCUAGUAAUCGCGCAUCAGCCAUGGCGCGGUGAAUACGUUCCCGGGCCUU
rnacentral:rRNA from 1 species